rnacentral:rRNA from 1 species
GACGAACGCUGGCGGCGUGCUUAACACAUGCAAGUCGAGCGGAAAGGCCACUUCUGUGGUCCUCUAGCGGCGAACGGGUGAGUAACACGUGAGUAAUCUGCCCCUCACUUUGGGAUAGCCACCGGAAACGGUGAGUAAUACCGGAGAUGACCAUAUGUCGCAUGGCGUGUGGUGGAAAGUUUUUCGGUGAGGGAUGUGCUCGCGGCCUAUCAGCUUGAUGGUGGGGUAAUGGCUCACGAUGGCUUCGACGGGUAGCCGGCCGGAGAAGGUGACCGGUCACAAUGGGACUGCGGCACGGCCCAGAGUCCAACGGGAGGCAGCGGUGGGGAAUAUUGUCCAAUGGGCGGAAGCCUGAUAAAGCAACGCCGCGUGAGGGAUGCAGGCCUUCGGGUUGAAAACCUCUUUCCGUAACGACGAAGCGCAAGUGACGGUAGGUAAAGAAGAAGCACCGGCCAACUACGUG